UCGUAUGCAAACAACAAAAUGGUUUAUUACGAAACUAUCGAAUAUACCUGACUAUAAGCAGAAACAUCGCAGCACUUGGGUCAAUCAUGGAUGUGCUUUACACGAAACUGCUUGUCGUAGUCGGAAUAGCUGUGCCAGUCGUGACCAAUCUUAACCACAGAGUACCAGUUGCUCCGGAUCAGAUCAUGGCAACAUUGUUGAACCGACAUAAAAGUGAAAAAUCUGAAGAUAACAAAACCGGAACCGCACAAAUUCGCCACAAGAAGACGGACAACCCUUUUCGCGCGGUAAGAAAGUCGGAGAAAGGGAAAGAAUAUCGCUCAGUUCGUCGAGAGGGUCGGCGUCCACCUUCGCCUUUGUUUUUCUCGCGGAUCUAACGAGGAUUUAUCGUUGCUACAACUACCUGCGUCCUCGUCAGUCACCACCACCAUUACGUAACAUCGGUGUGAAAAAUCUCUCGAUGCUGGAAAAAAACGCGGAAUCUCGGCAGAAGUCGCGAGGAUAAGGCAACGGCGCUGUCUCCCGCAGGAGCCAAUUUAGUUUGUUCAAGCAGCGACAAUCGUCAACGGUCGAGAGAAAAAUCUCUCGAUUUAUCGGUGCACUCAUCCGCCCCUGAAUCACAUCGACAAAAUCUCGGCUGAUUCGAAAGUCUGCGAUGCGGGGGAAACAAGUAGAAAAGGUCGACGGCGAUCGCGUCCUAGCGCGGCGCGACGAAGUGAAGGAAACCUUGAUAUAUCCGCCAAACACAAGGAGCUCGAACACCUCGGUGGGAUUUAUCGGGACUAUGGAUAAUGGAUGGCUUUCUGCGCGUACUACUCUCUCACUCUUUUUCUCUUUCUCUUUCUCUUUCUUUACCACACACAAGAACACUGUUUUUUUAAAUAAUACAAUACAUAACGCUGAAAAAUUCCUAGCCCUCUUCUCGCAUGCGGAACGAUAAUCGGCUACCCGAAUAAAAUAGAUAACUGGAAAGACUAUCGGUUUUAUUUGU